AAGACUAAGCCAUGCAUGUCUAAGUACAGACCGCUUACGAAUCGGUGACACCGCGAAUGGCUCAUUAGAUCGAUCAUUGUUCCUUAGAUCGUACGUGCUGGUUGCAGCGAGUUGGAUAACUGUGGCAAUUCUAGAGCUAAUACAUGCAAGACGAGUCCGGACACCGGCUUCGGCCGGCGGAAGGGCGCUUUUAUUAGACCUGUGAGCCCUCUUUCCGUCUUCGGGCGGGAGAGGGCCGUGGUGACUCUGAAUAACUCUGCAGAGCUGAUCGCACACCCGCUCCGGCGGGAGGCGACGUAUCUUUCAAGUGUUCGGCCUAUCAAGUUUCGACGGUAGCUGCCUUGGCUACCGUGCUACUGACGGGUACCGGGGAAUCUGGGUUCGAUUCCGGAGAGGGAGCAUGAGAAACGGCUACCACGUCCAAGGAAGGCAGCAGGCGCGCAAAUUACCCACUCCCGGCACGGGGAGGUAGUGACGAAAAAUACCGAUGCGGGGCCCCCCGCGGGGCUCUCGUAAUCUGGACUGAGUACACUCUAAACCCUUGCUUAGCGAGGAUCUACUGGAGGGCAAGUCUGGUGCCAGCAGCCGCGGUAAUUCCAGCUCCAGCAGCGUAUACUAAAGUUGUUGCAGUUAAAAAGCUCGUAGUUGGAUGUCGGUUUCACGAACCCCGGCGUCGUCGGGUCAAACCGCGCGUCGGGAGGGCUAGGCGUCGGUGCGGUGACAAUUCCGUCGCCGCUACUGACCGGCCCGACCCUGUCGGCCGUCGGAGGCUCAAACGUUUCCCCUCGCUUUAACCGGCGGGGUGCGGGACGCUCCGGCGCGUUUCCGAUCUUUACUUUGAAAAAAUGAGAGUGUUCAAGACGGGCUGCUUAUGCCUGAAUAGCGAAAGCAUGGAAUAAUGGAAUAGGAGCUCCCCGCCUGUCGGCGGGAGGCUAAUGAUGAAAAGAGACGGUCGGGGGCAUUCGUAUUGCGGCGUGAGAGGUGAAAUUCUUGGACCGUCGCAAGACGAACUGGUGCGAAAGCGUUUGCCAAGGACGUUUUCAUUAAUCGAGAGCGAAAGUCAGAGGCUCGAAGACGAUCAGAUACCGUCGUAGUUCUGACCGUAAACGAUGUCGACCGGGGCUCGGCGGCCCGUCGUUGUCUUUAGUACUAGUGACUCCGCCGGUACCCUUCCCCCGCGGGAAACCUUUGAGUGUUUGGAUUCCGGGGGGAGUAUGGUUGCAAAGCUGAAACUUAAAGGAAUUGACGGAAGGGCACCACCAGGAGUGGAGCCUGCGGCUUAAUUUGACUCAACACGGGAAAGCUUACCCGGCCCGGACACCGUGAGGAUUGACAGAUUGAGAGCUCUUUCUCGAUUCGGUGGAUGGUGGUGCAUGGCCGUUCUUAGUUGGUGGAGUGAUUUGUCUGGUUGAUUCCGAUAACGAACGAGACUCUAGCCUGCUAACUAGUGCGGGGAGUCGGGAGCGGUCCGCGCGCCUCCUUUGCGGGGCCGCGGAGCUCCCAUGCCCGGCGGAGUUCAUAUCUUCGUCCGGGCGCCUGGCCCCCGCCGCGCGUACCCGCCUCCUCGCGGGGUAGGGGCGCGACUUCUUAGAGGGACAAGCGGUUCUAAAGCCGCACGAGAUUGAGCGAUAACAGGUCUGUGAUGCCCUUAGAUGUUCGGGGCCGCACGCGCGCUACACUGAAGGUAGCAGAGGGUGUGAUCGCUCCCGCCCCGAAGCGGGGUGGGUAAACCGCACAACUACCUUCGUGGCUUGGGACCGGGGCUUGGAACUGUUGCCCGCGAACGAGGAAUUCCCAGUAAGCGCGAGUCAUAAGCUGGCGUUGAUUACGUCCCUGCCCUUUGUACACACCGCCCGUCGCUACUACCGAUUGGACGGUUUAGCGAGGCCCCCGGAUCGGCGCGCCGCGGCUCGGCUCGUUUCGGGCUGCGGCGACUGCCGAGAAGAUGGUCGAACUUGACCGUCUAGAGGAAGUAAAAGU
rnacentral:rRNA from 1 species